rnacentral:rRNA from 1 species
CUACGUGCCAGCAGCCGCGGUAAUACGGAAGGUCCAGGCGUUAUCCGGAUUUAUUGGGUUUAAAGGGAGUGUAGGCGGUCUGUUAAGCGUGUUGUGAAAUUUAGGUGCUCAACAUUUAACUUGCAGCGCGAACUGGCGGACUUGAGUGCACGCAACGUAUGCGGAAUUCAUGGUGUAGCGGUGAAAUGCUUAGAUAUCAUGACGAACUCCGAUUGCGAAGGCAGCGUACGGGAGUGUUACUGACGCUUAAGCUCGAAGGUGCGGGUAUCGAACAGGAUUAGAUACCCUGGUAGUCCGCACGGUAAGCGAUGGAUGCCCGCUGUUAGCGCCUGGCGUUAGCGGCUAAGCGAAAGCAUUAAGCAUCCCACCUGGGGAGUACGCCGGCAACGGUGAAACUCAAAGGAAUUGACGGGGGCCCGCACAAGCGGUGGAGUAUGUGGUUUAAUUCGACGCAACGCGAAGAACCUUACCAGGGCUUG